ensembl:lncRNA
CUGUUGUUUCCCUGUUCUGCGGGGGGUCCAGCACCACUGCCCGCUCCUGCACUCUUCUCCUGUCGCCUGGUGGUGGGCUCUUGCUGAGCAUUUCUUUGGUCUGACAUGACUGAGGCAGUGAUUUAGACAGGGCACAACUCAACGAUCCUUCUUUUGUGUACCAAUUGGAUCAGCUUUGUCCGAGGCGGACGUAAACAAAUCAUGGUUUAUGGCGGCCACUUUCUGGUGUCUGUGGUAACGGUUCUGCAUUAUCAGCAAAAAACAAAGCGAGAAAAAUGUAGAGGGUGUACUGCCUUCAGAGGACUGGCCAGAUGAAAUAUCACCCUUCUCCUGCACAUCCACACAGCUGGAAGAAUGCAACUCACACCAAUCACAACCACGGAAGGAAAUGUGAAGAAUGACUUUGUCUGCUCUUCAGUCGUGCUCUAGGCAGAGAAGCCCGCAAGCAAGGAGAAACCUGUGAAGGCCAGCAAUGAC